rnacentral:misc_RNA from 1 species
GUAGGUGAACCUGCGGAUGGAUCAUUAUCACGUAUCCACGUAUAAACCAUUGUGAACUGUAAUUUUGCCCUAUGAAAAGAAUUUUUUUUUUGUGAUUCGGAGAUGACUUCGCGGUCGUUUUCUGUCUUUUCAUAGUGUAUAAUCACAUUAAUUAACAAUUUUAACCUUUUAAUUUAAUUAUUGAACUGAUUUUAUUUCUUACUCUUCACGGAGAAGAAAUUUCAUUACGAAACAUAAGAACAACUCUUAGCAACGGAUAUCUUGGUUCUC